GGAAACUAGAAAACAUGGCGGAAAGUGCUGCAAAAAUGCUGUAUUUUACAGCUUUAAAAGCUAAAAGAAGGCCAAAUGCGGUCAUAUAAAUGUAUAUAAACGAUUUAUGGACGUUUUGAAGCCGCAAAAGGAAAUACACAAAGGAAAUCAGGUUCUGUUCCAGACAGUGUAACAUACCUGUAACAUGCAGCCUGCACUCAGGCUACAAAGAAUGCAGCACAACCGUCUAAUAUCAGAUACAUAGACAAUGAUUACACCGGCUGACAUGUGAUACCUUGCUGUAGCUGUGCUUUCGCACAUUUGAAAACCAUGACGAGAUGUCAAUCAUCUGUCAUCACCUGAGCUGCUCAGCAGUGCCGUCAGCCAAGUACAAAUGUACAGUCUGGUCGAACUGACAUUCAGAUAUGAUGAAUGAUCUUUCAGAGAUCUAACAAACCCAGAGCUGCCAGAAUUACCUUGAG